rnacentral:rRNA from 1 species
CAGUCGCCACGGUAAUACAGAGGGUGCGAGCGUUAAUCGGAUUUACUGGGCGUAAAGCGUGCGUAGGCGGCUUUUUAAGUCGGAUGUGAAAUCCCUGAGCUUAACUUAGGAAUUGCAUUCGAUACUGGGAAGCUAGAGUAUGGGAGAGGAUGGUAGAAUUCCAGGUGUAGCGGUGAAAUGCGUAGAGAUCUGGAGGAAUACCGAUGGCGAAGGCAGCCAUCUGGCCUAAUACUGACGCUGAGGUACGAAAGCAUGGGGAGCAAACAGGAUUAGAUACCCGCGUAGUCCCUGUCUCUUAUAA